CCCUAGCCCUGAUGGCAGUGAAAAUCCUUUUUACAAGGCACGAGAAAAAAGAUUGUAACGAACAGCAGGAAAUAGC
rnacentral:sRNA from 1 species